GGUCAGGAUGAACGCUAGCGAUAGGCUUAACACAUGCAAGUCGAGGGGCAGCACGGUGUAGCAAUACACUGGUGGCGACCGGCGUACGGGUGCGUAACACGUAUGCAACCUACCCGCUAGUUGGGGGAUAACCCGGCGAAAGUCGGACUAAUAUCCCAUAUUAUUCUUACCGGGCAUCCGGUGAGUCUGAAAGAUUUAUCGAUUGCGGAUGGGCAUGCGGAUGAUUAGCUAGUAGGUGGGGUAACGGCUCACCUAGGCGACGAUCAUUAGGGGUUCUGAGAGGAAGGUCCCCCACACUGGAACUGAGACACGGUCCAGACUCCUACGGGAGGCAGCAGUGAGGAAUAUUGGUCAAUGGGCGCUAGCCUGAACCAGCCAAGUCGCGUGAAGGAUGACAGAAUCUAUGGUUUGUAAACUUCUUUUGCAGGGGAGUAAAGUGCGACACGUGUGUUGUAUUGCAAGUACCCUGCGAAUAAGCAUCGGCUAACUCCGUGCCAGCAGCUGC
rnacentral:rRNA from 1 species